AAAAUGGUGGCAUCAUGCAGGCACAAAGCCUCAGCAAUUAUCUUGGUGGCAAGAUAAUUGCACUCCCUGCGAUUUCCCCAAAUGUGGGAAACUGUGCAUAAUGCAUAAUUUGUGGUAGUGAGGGACUGUGUCCGUGCUCUCCCCCU
rnacentral:snRNA from 1 species